rnacentral:lncRNA from 1 species
GGGCUUUUCCAGUUGGAUUUUGGAUAUUGGACCAUCUCUGAAUUAAAGAAAAUUCUCUAAGCUUCGCGUGGGCUGUAAGAUCGUCAAAAUCUGAUGUACGGAACUCCCGAUAUGGCCCAAACAGCGAAAUAAUACGUGUAGCCCAAUAAAUCUGAAUUUCCAUCCAAAUUUGAGUCCAAUUGAGCUUUAUUUCUUCAAAUCCUUCCAACUUUAGGAAUUCCUUGCACUCUACAAUAAAACAUUAAAAUCUAUUAAAUAAAUAUC